GAUCAUGGCUCAGGAUGAACGCUAGCUACAGGCUUAACACAUGCAAGUCGAGGGGCAGCAUGGUCUUAGCUUGCUAAGCCGAUGGCGACCGGCGCACGGGUGAGUAACACGUAUCCAACCUGCCGUCUACUCUUGGACAGCCCUCUGAAAGGAAGAUUAAUACAAGAUGGCAUCAUGAGUCCACAUGUUCACAUGAUUAAAGGUAUUCCGGUAGACGAUGGGGA
rnacentral:rRNA from 1 species